UAUAUAUCAUAAAUAGAUAAAAUAAUUACUACAAAUAUGUUACAAGAAAUAAAGCUUGUAAUUAAAGAAGAGGGGAAGGUAUUAGAAACAGUGAAAAAGGAAACUAGUACACAACCAUGUCAUCUUGUGAAAUCUUUGGAAGAGUUUCAACAGAGUGCCAAUGCUGCACUAACUAAUUUGAUUGAAAAUUUUGGAGAUACAGCUGAAACUAUGGAAGCUGAAGAUGAUGAAGAAAGUGAUGAUGAAGAUGAAGUACCUGUUACCCCCAAGAAAAAAAGAAAAUAAAUUCCCUUUUGUA